CACACCAUGUUGAAAUGCCAAUUCUCGUCCGAUCACUGAGGUUAAGCAACGUUGAGUCUGGUCAGUACCUAGAUGGGUGACUGCUUGCGAAUGCCAAGUAUUGUAA